GUCGGGCGGUCCGUCGCCGGCGGGUUCACAGAACGCCGCCUGAGGAAAGUCCGGGCAACACAGAGCGCCAUACUCCCUAACGGAGAGCUGUAGGUGACUGCAGAGACAACGUGACAGAAAACAACCGCCCCGCCUUCAACGCGGGGUAAGGGUGAAAAGGUGGAGUAAGAGCCCACCGGGCGCUCUGGCGACAGGGCGUGCCGCACGUCUUAUGGGUUGCAAGGUCAAGUAAACCGGCAUCUAAGGGUUGCUCGCCCGUUGCCGGAGGGUAGACUGCUACCGUUGAUGCCCAUCGGGCGUCCGAUUAGCCGAGAUGGCAACAUCCGGCAUAGAUAAAUGACGGACAGGAACGCUCGGCGUUCCCACAUAACCCGGCUUACAGCCCGACUGU
rnacentral:RNase_P_RNA from 1 species